CUGUGAAAGAACAUAAGACCAGUAAUGGCUGUUGGGUAGAUGAGAAGAUAUACCACUAAAACUUCAAGAAUGUCGAAUCAUAAACUUCAAAGUAUAGCCCCUCACCUCCAUCAGGACUAGCUAAACCUCAGAAGACUUCAUACUGAAAUUUGAAAAUGAAAUAACUGUCAAGUUUUAUGUUUGAUUCGUUGAAACUUUAAAAAGUAUUUUGUCGGUGCAAAAAAUUAUAUAGUUAAUUUCUAAAUUCUAGGACCAUAGGUGUACGGAGACAUUUUGCAGCUUAUAUAACUAAUGAAACUACUAGAAGUACUAAGCAUCUUUGACUUUUUGGAGUAUAACACAAUAAAAAGUGAACACCUAGAAACAGUUAAUACCAGAAGGAUUAAGUACUUUGGACAUAUGGGUACAUGCAUCUCAAAGCAACAUGCUUAGAAAGAUUAACCUGGAAGUUAUGAUACUAGAAGGUGUUCCUUUGAAAGGCAGAAGGUUCAGUGAAGGGACAUGAAAAAUCUUCUGUUGUGACUAAGGUUUUCUAGAUAAUGCCACUGGACACUGACGAACAUGUGAAAGUGAUUUUGGAUUCAUUGUCUUCAUCAGGACCUCAUUUGUAUAAGUUUUGGAUUUAUCCCACUCACUGGAGUUCUCAUGCUUGCUGUAAAAAAACAAAAUGGAGAUGGAAAAUUAGACAGUUGGUUGUUGACAUGAUAUAGUCAUUACCAGCUUUUUGAUUGCUGUACUUACUUCACAAAACAUUUUGAAGGACAUUCUGUAAAUGUGUAUAGACAUUCAGCCUGUGGAGACCUACCUUUUGAACAGGGAUACCCUGUAGUACUAAAUACACCUUUCUUGGAACAAGCUACCAACAGGCCCCAUUUUAUGAAGUUAUAAUAUAGCCCUGCACAGAAGUUCUUAUCAAGGUUAAAUAAUUUAUUUAUCAUAACCAUUAAGGGGACAGUGAGAUUCAAGUUAAUCAGUUAAUGAAUGUAUUUAUCAGUAUAUUUUACAUGUGAAUGCAAUUUUUCA